UCAAAGAAAUUGACGGGGGCCCGCACAAGCGGCGGAGCAUGUGGAUUAAUUCGAUGCAACGCGAAGAACCUUACCUGGGUUUGACAUGCACAGGACGACUGCAGAGAUGUGGUUUCCCUUGUGGCCUGUGUGCAGGUGGUGCAUGGCUGUCGUCAGCUCGUGUCGUGAGAUGUUGGGUUAAGUCCCGCAACGAGCGCAACCCUUGUCCUAUGUUGCCAGCGGGUUAU
rnacentral:rRNA from 1 species